rnacentral:lncRNA from 1 species
GGGAACGGCGAGGCACGCCGCGAUGGUGGCGACGGCGACGCCGGCAUCCUGGACACCCUCGAUCUUGCCGUUGAGCGCCUUGGUGACGGACAUCUCCAUGGCGGUGUCGAUGGUACCGUCGAUGGGCUUGACGAUGAAGGGGAUGGCGGCGAGGCCGGCGGCGGUGGGGAUUGCCUUGGCGACGUCGGCGCCGAGGGCGGUGUCGAGGUGCGCGGCGGCGACAGCCACGGCGGUGGCGUUCACGACGCAGCGGAUGAAGGAUCCGGGCCAGAACACGGAGGCGAGCAUCUGCCAGGUGAGGGUGUCGAGGGCGACGAUGGCACCACGCUUGGUCUUCUGGUCCUCAUCUGUUAAAAGAUGCCGGGAGAGGACGGGUCAGUGUUUCGUUCAAAUUCAGAGGUUUUUUUUUUCAAGUUGAAGCGCGGGCGCCAAAAAAAACAAGAUGCCAAAAAACUCAGGGGGGUAGGGGGUGCGGGUCUCGAGGGGGACGCACCGGGCUCGACGCCGGCGGCGCGCUUGCCCUUGUCGAAGGUGUCCGCGAACACGUAGAGCGCUGUUGGGGGGGGAGGAGGGGAGGGGAGGAAGGUCAGCGCGCGGUCCUAUCCGAGCUUAUCCAUUUUCAAAUGGGGCCGUGGGUUGCCGUUGAACCCAGGGACCGGGGGUUUUUUUGGGGGUUUUUUGAUCACUCACCGGCGACGCCGUAGGAGGCGGGGACGCCCCACUCGGGGAGGAAGGCGGCGAAAGCCUCGCCAACCUCGUUGGAGUAGCCCAUGUAGCGGAGGGGGGACUCGCGGUAGAUGUCGAGCUCGCCCUCGGCGUAGAGGGGGGGACCAUCCGACUUGGAGGAGUUCGCCUGGACGGAGAAGGCCUUCUUGGAGGCGACAGCCUUGGGCGCGGCCGCGAGGGGGUUGAACCUCUUGGAGCCGAGGCCGCGGCGGAGCGCGGAGGCGGAGACGGUG